rnacentral:rRNA from 1 species
GACAGAGGGUGCAAACGUUGUUCGGAAUCACUGGGCGUAAAGGGCGCGUAGGCGGCUUUAUAAGUCGGGGGUGAAAGCCUGUGGCUCAACCACAGAAUUGCCUUCGAUACUGUAGAGCUUGAGACCGGAAGAGGUAAGUGGAACUGCGAGUGUAGAGGUGAAAUUCGUAGAUAUUCGCAAGAACACCAGUGGCGAAGGCGGCUUACUGGUCCGGUUCUGACGCUGAGGCGCGAAAGCGUGGGGAGCAAACAGG